rnacentral:snoRNA from 1 species
GGAUUAUCAGAAGGAGAGAAGAUAGAUCUCUUUGGGACAUUGGAUUGGCCUUAUGGUGUCCUCUCUUUCUUUGAGGGGUACAAAAGUU